AGUGAACGCUGGCGGUAGGCCUAACACAUGCAAGUCGAACGGCAGCACAGUAAGAGCUUGCUCUUACGGGUGGCGAGUGGCGGACGGGUGAGGAAUACAUCGGAAUCUACUUUUUCGUGGGGGAUAACGUAGGGAAACUUACGCUAAUACCGCAUACGACCUACGGGUGAAAGCAGGGGAUCUUCGGACCUUGCGCGAUUGAAUGAGCCGAUGUCGGAUUACCUAGUUGGCGGGGUAAAGGCCCACCAAGGCGACGAUCCGUAGCUGGUCUGAGAGGAUGAUCAGCCACACUGGGACUGAGACACGGUCCAGACUCCUACGGGAGGCAGCAGUGGGGAAUAUUGGACAAUGGGCGCAAGCCUGAUCCAGCCAUACCGCGUGGGUGAAGAAGGCCUUCGGGUUGUAAAGCCCUUUUGUUGGGAAAGAAAAGCAGCAGGUUAAUACCCCGCUGUUCUGACGGUACCCAAAGAAUAAGCACCGGCUAACUUCGUG
rnacentral:rRNA from 1 species